UUUUUUCAAGUUUUGUAAUUUCGGGGAAUUUGUUGCUGGUUGAUCAAUAGUUCUGGACGAUUUUUUUUUCUUUUUUUUGUGUUUUAUCCUAGUUCAUCUCAGUAUUACAGUUCACAGAAAUUCAAAAUUGCAAUCAUUAACCUAAUCUUCGAAUUUUUUGAGGUUAUUUUAAAAUUUCGCACCAGUACCCCAAAAAAAUAAAAAAAUAAAAAAAUAAAAAAACCACUCAAGCCCUAAUUCCAACCAAACGUCUACUAUGUCUGCAAUUCACGCUCAUUUCUCUCACCCCGCCGACCUACGAUCGUCGUCACCACCGCUUUUGCAAGACCGCAAGUAUGUUAGACACUACAUUUAGCUUUAAGAAGCUAAGGGAGGAAUAUUUGCAUGGCCUGCCAAGUUUGUUAGAAGAACUUAGUCGUACUUGUUUUCAGAGUGCUGUUGGUAUGGAUCUCUCCCUUAAGCACCAUCAUGUACUCACAUUUAUGUUAUAGCUGAGAGCUUAGAGGAAACUUGCAGUUGUAUGAUUGUCUUGAUGUAUCGACAGAAAGUUUUCAACCUCAACUUACUUUCUAGCAUUUGUCAAAUAUAAUGUGAUUCUCAUUAUUUAUUAUGAAUUUUCAGCAAGUAAAGUUAUGAAUUUUCAGCAAGUAAAGUAAAGAAUUAUGAAUCCUGUAGCAAUGUUUUUCAUUUUAGUGUAUUGGUUUGUGCUGUUCUUUAAAGCUCUCAUUGUGAAGUCCUCUAGAUUUCAACUUCAUCAAUUUACAGCCUGUAUCUUUCUGAGAACCAAAAUUUGAAUUGGAAAUUGGGUUUACCUGAGCUGCUGGAUAAACUUCAGGGGCGGCAACCGUGGCCGGAAAAGAUGAAGAUGCACCUACAUCAAGCAUGGGUUUUGUAUCAAUGGGGGAUAAAUAGAGGGUGAGUCAACCGUGUACUGCAGUUUUGCUUCAGCUUCGGCAAAGAGAUUUUUGUGACAGUAGGAGAGGUCUUCAACUAGCUCUUGGCUAACUCGGAGCAUAGUUCAGAAAUUGUUUUCCUCAGUUCUUUCCUCAUCUCCUCUGCUCUUCCCAAUUUUUCUUGAGCCCAUUCAAGUUUUUCAGUUAGAGCAUCUCCAAUGUAAAAUGCUAAAUUUCCAUGCCAAAUCGAUAUUUUGAGAGGUGUUCCAGUGUCAAAA